UCUCUCUCUCUCUCUCUCUCUCUCUCUCUCUCUCUCUCUCUCUCUCUCUCUCAACCUAAACAAGAUCAAGUUUUUCUCCUCUCCUCCUAAUUUUCGAUCACUCCCUCUCUAGUGUUUUCUUAUGGGUAACUGUUGCAACCCAUCACAAUCGUCAUCCGUUUUCAAUCUCAGCACUACAAAGAACUCGAAGCCACCAUUGACAUGCUUCCAUGCUCUGCGUUGAGUUCCAAAAGGCGUUAUCAUCAAGGCCAUGGAAGGAUUCUCAAGAAGAUGAUCAGGCUCCGAUCACCGUCGCCGAUUUCAGCAACCAGGAACUGAUAAGUUUGGAGAUGGGGAGACAAAUCCCUUCUAUUUCUUUGGUAGCGGAAGAGGACUCGGCGUCGGUGCAUUUAGAUAAUCUGGUAGAGCAGGCGGUUGAUUAGGCCACGCAACCAUCUACUUUCCGGCAGAAGAAAUUUUUGGUGUGUUGAAGUGAAAUAGCUUUCGCCACGUUUGAGAACAUGCAGUAUGGAGAAGGAAAAUGUGAAGACAAAAAUUGUAUUUAGGCCAAAUGUUUCUAUGGCGUUGUUCUUUCAAUACAACACUGCUUUGGGAGCCGCCUUACCAGGUUUUGGUAGAUAUCAACUUUAUCAAUUUCUCUAUCCAGAAUAAGGUGAGUGUUUAGUGCUAAUUGCUUCAUGUAUAAGCUACAGCUUGUUCAAGUUUUCUGUAUUAGAAAAUAUAAUUGUUUUUGUUCACUACCCAUAUGCAAAGUGUGAGUCUCAAAGUUAUUCACUUGUAUUAAUGUUUAGUGUUUCUUAGGAAUUGGGUUUGAAUGUUCAGUUUUAUAUAUAACAAGAAUGAUUCACAUAAAUUAGUUAACUUACGAUAGUGACCAAAAGUUUUGAUAGUUAAUGCACGGUAAUGUUCCAUUUUUCUUGUUUAUUUUUCUCUAAUAGUUUAUUUGUCUUUUAAAUAUACAGGUACUCCUGGUAUCACAGAUUAUGUAAUGGUUGAGCUUGAAAAGUUGGGUCAGAAAUAUCGUGUGGCUCAGAGGUUGUUUGUGUCAAACGAAGAGUUGCAGCUGUGGGAUGAAGUCUUGAUGUUUAUAUAUUGAUGGGUGCAUCUGUAAAUUUAUAGUUAGUACAUACAUUUAUUGCAUUAUACAAUUCAAAAUACAGUAUAUAGUACAAGAAUGUAAAGGUGCCAAACGACACCUUAUUUUUUUAAUACAACCUCAUAAAUUUGCCACUGAUAUCAGUGGCAUUCCAAAACCACUAAUAUCAGUGUGAAUUUAGAUGCUGACUUUACCUUGGAU